GAAGAUGAAAAAGAACUCCUUAAUCAGGUAGCGCUCAGCGCUGCCGUCAAGAUCAAAUUAAACUUUACUAUAAGUGAUCGAAGCGCCACCGAAGGCCGGAAGCAGGGUUCCCUCAGUCCCUCUUGUGGUGGCUGGGGUUGGUUUGAAUUUACUCAGAUUGCCAGUUUUUUAUUUUUAGGUCCUCCCUCGUCGAUUCCGCAAUCUCAUGAAAAUUUCGCCUGAUGUACCUGGGAUAUACUUCACUUUCCUAUCUUUUCGUAUUUUAAGAUCGAUUCUAGGGCUCAGGAAGUACAAUCUCUUAUUUUCUCUGAAUCGUCGUCGACGGGCGGUUCUCGGGUUGUUGAUGGUGGAUCUGGGGUUGUCACCUCGAUGAUAUUCUGCAGAUCUCUCUCUGCUUGGAUCGGCCAGGUCUUCUCCUGCAUGGGAAGCUGUCUUGGAUGCUAUACUAAACCAACUCCAAUAACAGCAGUGGAUGAGCCUUCAAAGGGUCUAAGAAUUCAAGGUCAGUCUGUCAGAAAACCUAGUAUAUCAGACGACUUUUGGAGUACAAGCACAUAUGAAAUGGAGAAUAGUGGAGUUCAGUCUCAAAGAAGCAUCUCUUCAAUCAGUGCAUCGGCUCGAGCUUUUGAUCCUUAUAGUGGAGCAGGAAGCUCAACCAAUACACCCGAGUUUGUGAAUCAUGGCCUUAUUCUAUGGAACCAAACUAGGCAGCAGUGGAUUGGGGAUAAAAAGGACCACAAAAAAACGGAGCAGGUUAUUGAUCCAAGAUUAAGUUGGAAUGCAACAUAUGACAGUUUGCUAGGAUCAAACAAGCCCUUUGCGCAUCCUAUUUCGCUCCCUGAGAUGGUAAACUUCCUUGUGCUUGUCUGGGAGCAGGAAGGUUUGUAUGAUUAGAUUGCUGAUGAGAGCACUAUCAGAUACUUUUCCUUCAGAGCAAUUAGACUAUAAACGCUUAUAUAAGCACCAGUGGCUUUUUCACCCCUCUAUGAAAAAAGUUCAACAGGCGUGUUUGGUAUACCACUACUUCAGGAGCAGAAUUAUUAGCAGUAGAUUAUUUUUUUGUAUUUAUUAUUUUAUAGUAGUUUAUUAUGUUUGUGUGCAUUUAGAACUGGGUAGUUUAUUUCUUGCUUUUGCUAUAUUUACAUUCAUGUUGGCUUGUAUCAGAAUUAUUAUUAUUUGGAUGUAUUGGUUAAUUGAACUUUUAUUAAUGGAUUGGCUUCAUUUCA